GGAGUAGAAAGAGGAAAAGGAAAUCAGGAAAAAUGGACGGCCCAGAUCAGACCGUUAGAGGAGAUCCGAUGAAGGAGAUUUAAAAGAAAAUGGACGGUCCAAAUUGAGUCAUGAAGAUCCAACGGCUGAGGGAACAUGUAUAAAAGGGAAAGAGAUUAGGGUUUUCUUCAUUUGGGAGAGAAGCUGAAAAAAGAGAAUGAGAGAAUGAGAGAGAGAGAGAGAGAGAGAGAUGAUUGGGGAGAGAAGGAAGAAAGGGUGUCACGCGAGAAAGCCAAGAGAGAGAAAAGAGAGAAGAGAAGAAAGAAGAGAAAGGCUGGAAGCGAAGAAGGGAAGGGAAAAGAAAGGAGAGAAAAAAGAAGAGAAGGAGGGUGGCCGAGCGGGAAGAAGGGAAGCCGAGAACGGCCGCACAUAGAGAGAGGAGAAGAGAGAUAAUCGUGGAGGAGGAAGAAGAAGAAGGGGAAUUGUGGCCGAGGAGUACCAUAUGUCGGCGGAAUCUAAAAUCAAGGUUGUUCAGGUUUUUCGAGCACCGCAACGCACCCGAGCUAGGUGCAUUCCUUUUCUUCUUUUGGUUUGUGUUUUUGGCCAAAUGAGCGUUCACCUGUGUGUGUGUGUGUGCAGGUUUGGGAGCUAAAGGACCGCGAGGUGGCUGAGAAGAGACCACCGGGAGCCAAACCGAGGCCGAAUCGCCCCACACUAGAAAGGUAAAGCUUUUUCGUAUUUUUGGUGGUUGUUGAGUGGCGGUGGAGUGGGGACGAUGUUUGGCUGGCCGUGCGGGCUAGACUGGGCCACCCAUCCUGGCAGGAACUGAGGAGGUUUCCUCGGGAAUGGGGAAAACCCACCCACCAUGGAAGCUAGAGGGUCUUCUGUGGGAAUAGAGGUUGGAAUCGCUUUUUGGGAUUCUGAUUCGCCAUCUGAGAAGCUGGAAAGUCUUCCUUGGAAAAAGGGAAUCCGAUUCGCCGAACGGGAAGCCGAAAAAUUUUUCGAGUACGGAUCCCGAUAAUUUUGGGUAUUUUGUUGGGUGGUCAUUAUAAUCCAUAAUUCGAUUAAAUUAAAUUUUAGUAUUUUGAAGUAUUUUAAUUAAUUUAUGUCGUGUGUAUAGGAAAUUAGAACAUUCAGGUGGAUCUGUAAAAACGCGUAGGAGUGUAAGUAUUUCUAAAUCUCAAUAGGAUUUGAAUUUUGAAAAGUGCAUUCAUUUUAUAAAAAUGCUUAAUUUUAAAAUUUCAAUGGACAUUAAUCCAAUUUUAGAUGAAAAAUAAAAUUCAAAUUAUGAUCAGUAAAUUUAAGCAAUUGGAACCUUAUGAGGAGACGAAACCAGAAAACAGACCCAAUGGACUGUGAGUUAUUUGAACUGAUGAAAUACAAAAUUAAAAACUUUAAAAAUUCCUAAUUAAGCGAAAAAUAGAAAAAAAAAAUAAAAAAUAAAUAAAAAUAAAUAAUUGAGGUUGUGAAAUGAUCAUUUAAAUAAAUUAACAAUUUUGGAAUGAGAUGAUAGGNNNNNNNNNNNNNNNNNNNNNNNNNNNNNNNNNNNNNNNNNNNNNNNNNNNNNUUAGUCUGAAUCGAUGAGGGGAGUGUGUGUGUGUGACAUGUUGAAACUGCAUAUGGAUAGAGUCUGAAACCUAAUCCAGACGUGGAUAGGUACUUGUGAGUGUGAGUCACCUAAUAAACAUACCUGCUGUGGCUACUGUUAGAUUUAUGUGUAUGUGCUAUCCAUGCGAUGGAAGGAUCCAUUUUGUCUUUCCUUAAUAACGACAUAAACAGUAUCGCGCGAAGAAACCAUAUAAAUGAUCUUUCGAGUGUAUCUAUGAUCUUUUGUGUGUGUGUGAUUAUGUUUCAAAAUGAUGAUUGAUAUUCAAUGUAUUUAUGACUUUCGAGAGUAUGAGAAUAUAAAUUUGAAGUUUGUAUAUGAUAUUCGAGAGAAUUCAUAAGAUCGAUCAGAAACAUGUGAAAUGGUAAAAAUAAGAACAUGAAUUUGGCACUAAAACAUUUUUAUUACUUUUAUUUCUUACUGUGUGUUUUGUAUGAAAUUUUAUUUGGGUUGAAAGAACAUGAAUACUUAUUGAGUUGGUGAAGCUCAUUAAAUUUCACCCUCAUAUUUUUCAGAGGAGAAUGAAGAGCCAGCACCGCUGUCAGAAGAGUAUAACCUGUAAAAGGAUUCUUUUUUGUAUAUUUUGUGUAUAUUCGAGAAGUUUUAUUUUGUUAUGUUAGACUUUAAAUUCUAACCUCAUGUGUUAUAUAUAUAGUUACUGUACAUAUCAUAUGGGAUGUUAGGUAGUAUUAUAUUUUUUGAUCUAUACAUGUAUAUAUUUUAUGGAUCCACUGCAUGAAAAUGAUAUGAGCAGGAAUUACGCCUCAUAUCGAGCAUCGGGGCGUGACAGGUGGUAUCAGAUCCCACAGUCCUAGAAUUAUCUCUUGUGCAUGAGGUUUUAGAGUUUAAAUAUUGUAUUUUUGCAACUAUUAGGGUGUUAAGAAGUAGGAAAUGUUAUUUUGAAAUGUUCUAUUCAUUUUUUUCUAAAUGAAGGGUUGUAAGAUGAGACGUGGAUAGACUCCACUGGAGCAACCUCCCUCUUACAUGUUCUUACAGAGCAUAUUGACCAGUUGUACCACAUGGUAGAGGAGCUUGUUAACUAGCAUAGAGAAUGGAUACCUAGCCCUCCUCUAAUACUGAC
rnacentral:lncRNA from 1 species